GUUCCCAGUGAUGGUAUAUAUACAUUAACCAUGCUAAUGCUGAUGUCCUUUGACGAGUAUAACAAUGUGCUGAGGGAGCU
rnacentral:snoRNA from 2 species